ACGCGGAGCCGCCCUGUCCUCUCCGCUCCGCUCCGCUCCGCUCCCUCCCGGCCCUGCCCGGCCCGGCCCGGACUUGCCUGUGGUGCCACCCGCUGGUGCUCCCCGCCGCUCCAGCUCGUGUAGCAGCAGCCCGGCACUGGGAGCAGCAGCUCGGGCAGAAGAGGAGGGCGGGCCCGGACCUCUCCGCCCAGUGCUCAGCCCCCGCUACCCGGCUCGUCCGGCCGCCUCCUGCCACCCGCGUGGCGGCCCCGCCCCGCUCCAGCACCCAGACCCGGGCGAAGAGGUGAACGCUGCGGGCGGGCGGAAAGGCUGAGGAGCGUCCUGCCCCUCAGCAGGAUGCCAGGGGAGAGUCGGUCCCCAUUGCUGAGGCAAGCCAUCACUGUCAGGCUGAUGCCAGAUCGGGGAAGCGGAGAAAACGAGGGCUCUCAGGCGGUGGUCGAGGCCUGCCCUUCCCGACCAACGUGUGUGGGGAACUCAAAACUGGACACAGUACUCCAGAUGUGGCCUCACCGGUGCUGAAUAAAGGAGAACAAUCACUUCCUUCAAUCUGCUGGCAAUGCUCCUACUAAUGAAGCUCAGGAUCCCAUUAGCCUUCUUUGCAACAGGGGCACAUUGUUCGCCAUUGAAGUUGACCAAUUUGAAACAGACCUGUUGGCGUUGUCCUCUCUUCCAUGUGAUUUUUCUUGAAGAGUAAGACCAAGUCUGGAAAGCUUUUACUACAAAGGACGUUAAAAGUAACUGAAGAGGCCUGGUGUGUUUAAAAUAAAAGAUGGAAUUCAUUCAA